UUAGGGUCACAGCUGGGUCUGUCUGGUGCCUCUGCUUCCAGGAAGGCCACCUUAAGCCUGGGGAACCAGGGGAGCUGUUCCCCUCCUCCCUGGUGACUCCACGCCACAGAGAAGUCCAGUUAGGGACACUCUUUCCUGUUCCCCAAGGCCCUGCCACUCUAUCAACGCACCAUAAGGCAGGGAAAAGACCAGAUGUGGG